UAAGGGCGCACGGUGGAUGCCUUGGCACUAGAAGCCGAUGAAGGACGUUACUAACGACGAUAUGCUUUGGGGAGCUGUAAGUAAGCUUUGAUCCAGAGAUUUCCGAAUGGGGAAACCCAGCAUGAGUUAUGUCAUGUUAUCGAUAUGUGAAUACAUAGCAUAUCAGAAGGCACACCCGGAGAACUGAAACAUCUUAGUACCCGGAGGAAGAGAAAGAAAAUUCGAUUCCCUUAGUAGCGGCGAGCGAAACGGGAAGAGCCCAAACCAACAAGCUUGCUUGUUGGGGUUGUAGGACACUCUAUACGGAGUUACAAAGGACGACAUUAGACGAAUCAUCUGGAAAGAUGAAUCAAAGAAGGUAAUAAUCCUGUAGUCGAAAAUGUUGUCUCUCUUGAGUGGAUCCUGAGUACGACGGAGCACGUGAAAUUCCGUCGGAAUCUGGGAGGACCAUCUCCUAAGGCUAAAUACUCUCUAGUGACCGAUAGUGAACCAGUACCGUGAGGGAAAGGUGAAAAGCACCCCGGAAGGGGAGUGAAAUAGAACCUGAAACCGUGUGCUUACAAGUAGUCAGAGCCCGUUAAUGGGUGAUGGCGUGCCUUUUGUAGAAUGAACCGGCGAGUUACGAUUUGAUGCAAGGUUAAGCAGUAAAUGUGGAGCCGUAGCGAAAGCGAGUCUGAAUAGGGCGUUUAGUAUUUGGUC
rnacentral:rRNA from 1 species